AUGUGCAGUAUGGUGAUGUGAACGAUUUGCAAGCACCUCCGAAAAUCAGCACAUACACGGUUUGAUCUUUCCCAAUGUCAUAAAUACGUAAGAUUGUAGCACUCUUGUUUCUCAUGGUUAAUCUCCCUUUUGUAGAUUGGUACCUUCCAGUCAUCAAAAGGCGAGAGGGCAAAGCUUAAAGUGAAAGUGAGAUUGAACCUGCAUGGAAUUGUCUCAGUUGAAUCGGCAACUGUAAGUUUCUUUAAAUGUACUAUUUAAAGUCUCAUUCUCUCUAAUAACUGAUUACAAGUUGAUCAUCCAGGACCGUGCCUUCCCUUAUGAACUUAGGGAUUCGUUAAUUUAUCCUAAUCUUUUUCCUCCCCUAAAUGCAGCUUUUGGAAGAGGAAGAAGUUGAAGUUCCGGUCACAAAAGAUCAAUCAGUGGAAACUACUAAGAUGGACACUGACAAAGCUUCUGCCGAGGCAGCUCCUGCUUCUGGGGACUCUGAUGUUAACAUGCAGGACGCCAAGGAUACCAGUGAUGCAGCUGGUUCUGACAAUGGUGUUGCAGAGUCUGCUGAGAAGCCGGUGCAAAUGGAAACUGAUUUAAAGGCUAGUUUCUCUCUUAACUGAUACUGCUUGCUAUUCGCUUGUGAACAUUAGAUAAUAAUGGAUAUUUAUUAAUGGAUUGUGCAGGCUGAGGCUCCGAAGAAGAAGGUGAAGAAAACAAAUGUACCACUGUCAGAAUUGGUCUAUGGUGCCUUGAAAUCUGUGGAGGUCGAUAAGGCUGUGGAGAAGGAAUUUGAGAUGGCUUUGCAAGACAGAGUUAUGGAAGAGACCAAGGACCGAAAGAAUGCUGUUGAGUCUUAUGUUUAUGAUAUGAGAAACAAAGUGAGAAUCUUUUUUUCGUCUUUUCAUUGGCAGUAUGCAUAUGUAAAGUUGUGAGUAUGGGGUACUGACGUGUCUUGUUUUCAGUUGAGUGACAAAUACCAGGAAUAUAUCACUGAUGCUGAGAGGGAAGCAUUCCUGGCGAAGCUGCAGGAAGUGGAGGAUUGGUUGUAUGAAGAUGGGGAAGAUGAGACCAAAGGUGUUUAUGUUGCAAAGCUCGAGGAGCUCAAGAAGGUAAUGUUGCAAAGACCGUAUGAUGACACUUUAUUGUGCAGAAAAAAAAACAUUUUUGAUGUUAAUGUUUUAACAGAGGCUGGGUAUUGAUCUUUUGCAGGUGGGUGACCCUGUUGAAGUACGUUACAAAGAGUCGUUGGAAAGAGGGUCGGUCAUUGAUCAGCUUGGUUACUGUAUUAACAGCUACAGAGAGGCAGCUAUGUCUAAUGAUCCCAAGUUUGACCACAUUGAAUUGGCUGAGAAGCAAAAGGUAAGAAUUCAGCUCAUCUCGAAAGCACAGAACAAAUCGUAAAUUUAACAGGCUUGGGGAAAAUGGUUUGAUGUGUGUUUUGUUGUUGUGCAAUAAUGAAGGUUUUGAACGAGUGUGUGGAAGCAGAAGCAUGGUUGCGGGAGAAGAAGAAGCAGCAGGACACGCUUCCCAAGUAUGCCACACCGGCUCUCUUGUCAGCUGACGUUAAAAGCAAGGCGGAGGCAUUGGACAAGUAAGCAAGGAUCUUUGUAUCUGUCUCCUAAUAGAAAUGCUUGGUAUAUGUUGUAUAGAGAGUGAACCAGUCUUGGAUGUUUUGCAGGUUUUGCAGGCCUAUAAUGACCAAACCAAAGCCGGCUAAAGCAGAAGCACCACAAGCCAAGGGAGGUGAGCCGGCAGAUGAGGGCAAUAGUGAGGCAGAGCAACCAGCUUCUGCCGAACCAAUGGAGACUGAGAAUCCCGCCGAAGGUAGUGCCUAAAUGAAUGACGAGAGCGAGAUGGUGUUGUAUCGAUUUUGUUCUUACUCUUUUUUUUUAAUUUACCUAGCGGAACCUCUUUUUCUGGUUUCGCUAUUAUUCCCGGAAAAAUUCUAUAUUUUUAAUUCUUCCUUCUCGAUAACAGUUUUUAGGAAGCGUCGUUUUUCUUAUUGUUGUUACUUGUGGUUUUGUUUUUUAAUUUGAAAGUCAUUUUUUCUGCUCUUCUCUAUAAUUACUAUGGAGUCAGUGUAUACGGAUCGUUCUAUAUUGGACUGGACUGUUUAACUUUAUAUAAACAGCAAAUGAAAGUACGAUUUUGAUCUCUUAGAAGCUUAACAUCUUCUCCUAUGUGUGACGUUUAUGCGGUGGCUCACCUCUUCCUGACCAUUGGCAACAACUUCGAGGUGGUCAUCCAGGCUGAAGUUGUAUUGUUUCUAUAAUCCAAACAAGCAUAUCUUAUGUAAUACAAAUUCUGAUAACACCAGCCACUUCUCUAUAAUAAUUGUAACUUUCUUAUAAUUUUUCAGAAAUUUUAUGUGUUAAAUCAUACAACUUGACCCACCCAACCUAUUAAAUAACAAAUUUGUAGAAAUAAAAUUUGUUUUGACGGUGAUUUUAAGUAAAUUUUAUACAUUGGGUUUAAAUAAAUUAUGUAGACUCAAAGUAUACAAAAAUAUUGGGAUAAAAAAAAAAAAAAAACCUAAGAAAGCAAAAAAGAGGCAAAAAAAUAAAAUAUCACAAAAGAGAAAGGAAAUGAAAGUGUUUAGAGAAAAAGAAAAAAAAAAAAAAAAGAAAGGAGAAGAACAUUCCAGACGAACCCAAACCCUGUGGUGGUGUCUGCUCCUUAAUUAAACCUCUCUUUUGCUCUUCCUUUAUAUAUAAAAAAAAAAACUCUGGUCUCUUGCCUCUUCACUUUUUGGCUGCGACACGAUUACAGAUUAACUCACCUCACCCAGAUUUCGGUAGAAGCUUCCACCAGAACGCGAACCCCUCUCGCGAUCCAGGUAUGCUCUACUUGCAGAUCUUCUUCUAGAUCUGAUGCCUCUCUUUUUCCUCACUUAUAGUUUUUUUUUUCAAUCUAUUUUCUGGUUGCUUUCCCUCGCGGAUUACUUGUUUCAAUAAGAUUCUUCUGCUUUCGCUACUUACGGAUUUGUAGUGGGAAAUUGUCUUAGCUUCUUUUGUAUUCAAACUCCACGUAUGUAUUGGUGAUGUAAAUCCAAACUGGUGGUUUGAUUUAGGUUCAGUAAGGCUACCUGGCCUGAUUGUUCGUCUUCUCCUGUUAUCUUUCGAGCUCAAGGCUAGUCUCUUUUGAUCGCUAUUUCACAGUUUUUAAUCGGAUAGUUUUUUUCUUUUUUUUAUAUAUAUAUAUAUAAGGUAGCUCUCGAUCACGUGGGAGAAUUGAAGAACACAAAGCCUGACAAUGAGUGUAGUUGGUUUUGAUUUUGGAAACGAGAACUGCCUUGUUGCUGUUGCAAGGCAAAGAGGUAUCGACGUCGUGCUUAAUGAUGAGUCCAAUCGUGAGACUCCCGCUAUUGUCUGCUUUGGUGACAAGCAGCGCUUCAUCGGUACUGCUGGAGCUGCUUCAACCAUGAUGAACCCCAAAAAUUCCAUCUCUCAAAUCAAGCGCUUAAUUGGUCGCCAGUUUUCCGACCCUGAGCUGCAAAGGGAUAUCAAAUCCCUUCCCUUUUCCGUCACCCAAGGGCCUGAUGGCUAUCCUUUGAUCCAUGCUAGUUAUUUGGGAGAGACUAGAGCCUUUACUCCCACUCAAGUCAUGGGUAUGAUGUUGUCUAACUUGAAAGGUAUUGCCGAGAAGAAUUUGAAUGCUGCAGUGGUCGACUGCUGUAUUGGUAUUCCUGUUUACUUUACAGACCUCCAGCGAAGGGCUGUUCUCGACGCAGCCACAAUUGCAGGCUUGCAUCCCUUGCACUUGAUCCACGAGACUACAGCAACGGCUUUGGCUUAUGGAAUUUAUAAGACAGAUCUGCCAGAGAAUGACCAGCUCAAUGUUGCAUUCAUUGACAUUGGACACGCAAGCAUGCAAGUCUGUAUUGCAGGCUUCAAAAAAGGGCAGCUCAAAAUCUUGUCUCACGGUUUCGAUCCCUCCCUUGGAGGAAGGGACUUUGAUGAAGUUCUUUUCAAUCAUUUUGCUGCUAAGUUCAAAGACGAGUACAAGAUUGACGUCUCCCAGAAUGCUAAGGCUUCUCUCAGGCUCCGUGCUGCGUGCGAGAAACUCAAAAAGGUUCUAAGCGCAAAUCCUGUCGCACCAUUGAAUAUCGAGUGUUUGAUGGAUGAGAAAGAUGUUAGGGGUGUCAUCAAGAGGGAAGAGUUUGAAGAGAUCAGCAUCCCUAUUCUGGAGCGUGUUAAGAGGCCUCUAGAGCAAGCUCUCUCUGAUGCGGGCCUCACAGUUGAAGAUGUACAUAUGGUCGAGGUUGUCGGCUCUGGCUCUCGUGUCCCUGCUAUGAUCAAGAUUCUAACUGAGUUUUUUGGUAAGGAGCCCAGGCGUACAAUGAAUGCAAGUGAGUGUGUGUCGAGGGGAUGUGCCUUGCAGUGUGCCAUUCUCAGUCCGACCUUUAAAGUUCGCGAAUUCCAGGUGAUUGGUGCAUAUCUAUGCUUAAGGGAAUGUCGUUAUUUUCGUCUACUUGUAAGCAACUAGAACUGUUUACUCCAGGUUAUCUGACUAGUCAUAUUAUGAUUUUUUUUUUGUUCUCUUAAGGUUCAUGAGAGCUUCCCUUUCUCAAUUUCGCUGGCGUGGACAGGAGCAGCUUCCGAUGCUCAAAAUGGAGGAGCUGAGAAUCAGCAGAGCACUGUUGUUUUUCCCAAAGGAAAUCCCAUUCCUAGUGUCAAGGCUCUAACAUUUUAUCGUUCUGGAACAUUCUCUAUUGAUGUGCAGUACAGUGAUGUGAACGAUUUGCAAGCACCUCCAAAAAUCAGCACAUACACGGUUUGAUCUUUCCCCAAUGUCAUGACUAUGUAUGACUGUAGCACUCUUGGUUCUCAUGGUUGAUCUCCUUUUUGUAGAUUGGUCCCUUCCAGUCAUCAAAAGGCGAGAGGGCAAAGCUUAAAGUGAAAGUGAGAUUGAACCUGCAUGGAAUUGUCUCAGUUGAAUCGGCAACU
rnacentral:lncRNA from 1 species